UUUGCUGCAUCCUGGGCUUUCUGGACAGUCUCAACUCCAAUAUAUACACAUAAGGUUCAACUUUAAAGGCUAUAAAAUAAGGUUUAAAAAGUACUUAUAACGAUAACUUGUUCUUAAGGUUGUACAGAUUGCUUCCUACAAACAUAGAUACAUGGGAUAAAUAUUUGGUGUUUAUGCAUAAAUGGUAUGGGCUCUUUAGACAAAAUGUUGAGUUUUACUCAUAGAAGGCAAGGGGCAUUUACACUACAAAUCAAUCAAUGGGACCAGAAUGUAGACAAUCAAUCUUUCAACUUCUCUUUCUAUGCAUAUAUACAUAGGGGGUCUUCACGAUGCUUGCACUCACCCAUAAAUCCCCUAUCCAACAAUGUCCUUUUGAGUCUCUCCUUAGUCUCCUAAGAAAAUGGCUUUCUCUAAGGCUUUUGUACUCCAGGGCCUUCUCUUUGCUGUUCUUCUCAUCCUCUCUAAGGUUUCAGGAAGAGAGAUAGCUGAGGCUGCUCAAACCCCUGAGUUUCUCGCAUUCUUAAACCUUACUUUUUGCCUUUCAUCUUUGAAUCUUUGCCACCAUGCAUGCGCCCACAUAGUCUUGAUCAGCACAGCACACCCCAAUGCCAGUGAAUGGUGUGUAAAAUGUUCACCAACUUUUCCUAGUGUCUCACAAUAUUUGCAAGCAUUCCAGUUGAGGCUUUCUGCCAAAUCAAGAGCCUCUAGUCCUGUACAUCAUGCCACGGAGGACAUAUACUUGCUCUUGAUUUAAGAAACCUUUAAGAAUAGGCAUCGAAGAAUGUUCUCUCUAAAUUGCCUUUGUGACAGUGACAGAAGGAAGUGUAGAAGAAGCUAAGAACUGGGGACAUGGAUAUGGACACGGGCGCUGGGGAUUUGGAUAUGGACAUGGACAAGGCCACUGGGGAUUUGGACAUCGACACGGCCACCGGGGACAUGGACAAGGGCAUGGCCAUUGGGGACACGGACACGAAGGCAUACCCGGACACAAUGGUGCUGGUGGGAAAGUGGAUUUUAGCAUAUUAGCCUAUUUUCUUUUUGUUAUUUUUCAUUUUUGUUAAUACCUAUAGUUGGUGAGGUGUUUGUUUUUUUAGAUGAGCUUUACAGCUCCAUUUGCGUGAACUUCUGUGAGGUAAAGCUCUUUAGCUCCUCUGUUUUCUAUCCCUGUACAACAAUCAAUCAAGGAAAGAGAAUCAGUCAAUUUCUCUCCAUUUUCCCUUGUAAUAGUGAAGAAGGAAACCGAAGCUGGUCAGAAUUAGAUAAAACACCCCAGUUGCUGCAUUUGCACAACUACUAUAA